UCCUGGCUCAGAUUGAACGCUGGCGGCAUGCUUUACACAUGCAAGUCGAACGGUAACAGGCCUUCGGGUGCUGACGAGUGGCGAACGGGUGAGUAAAGCAUCGGAACGUACCCAGAGUGGGGGAUAACGCAGCGAAAGCUGUGCUAAUACCGCAUGUGAUCUGAGGAUGAAAGCGGGGGACCGAUCAGCAAUGGUUGGCCUCGCGCCUUUGGAGCGGCCGAUGUCGGAUUAGCUAGUUGGUGGGGUAAAGGCCUACCAAGGCGACGAUCCGUAGCUGGUCCGAGAGGACGACCAGCCACACUGGGACUGAGACACGGCCCAGACUCCUACGGGAGGCAGCAGUGGGGAAUUUUGGACAAUGGGCGCAAGCCUGAUCCAGCAAUGCCGCGUGCGGGAAGAAGGCCUUCGGGUUGUAAACCGCUUUUGGCAGGAACGAAAAGCUCUGGGCGAAUACCCUGGGGUGAUGACGGUACCUGCAGAAUAAGCACCGGCUAACUACGUG
rnacentral:rRNA from 1 species